rnacentral:lncRNA from 1 species
GUAUGUUUACCUAUUUCAAUGAAUUUGGCCUCAGCUAAUACUAAAUUCCACCCUCCUUGGUCAAACACACUUAUGUUUUAUUCCUACGCAUGUUCUCCACACAUGUCCACGUACAUUUGCAUAUUUUUGUGAUUCCUUUGGUGUGUAAACUUUUCUUUGGUCACAGUGUACCUGUCUCUUUGCUGAGCUUUGAUCUUAGUCAUGGGGUUAAUGGCAACAGAGGGUUGUUGUGAUGGGUUUUGUACAGAAUGAGCACCCUUUUUCAUCUGUCUCAGGUGAGGUUAUUACAUAGUUUGAAGCAAAGGAAGAUUAGUUUCCUCAAACAGCAGGAGAGCUACUUUCACUGAUGAAGAAGAAUCUAGGGACUUGGGGGUUCAAGAUUGUCAGUUUCAUCUGUGUACAACCAGAUGUCUGUAUUCCAAGUUUCAGGAUCCCCUCCAUUCCCAGAAGAUGCCCUGACCUUCACAUGAGAUAUAUGGUGAGAUUGUGAACUCAACUAUUGUUGUCAUUUAGUAACCUGAACAAUUAAAUUUGUGUUUGACUUUCAGCAAUAUCAGCCCUGUGGCUACAAAGGCUAUGUCAUGAAGGCCUUCUGGUUCUCAGAUUGUGACUUGAACUGGGAGUUAAAGGAUCUGAGCUUGGCAUUUUCUUUCUGUACAAGACAGGCAGCCCUCAGCCCAUGGCGAUCCCUGAGGACUCUGCCAGAAAUACCCUUGUUAGUGCUUCAUCACAGCACAGAGCAGAGCAUUGCCCAGACGGAAGAGGAGCAGCCCAGUGUGGAUGGGAGCAGAGCCUGGGGUCUGAACUGCAACAAGAAAAAGAAGUCAGGAGUACAGACGGUCCAAGAGGCAAACGAUGGCAAAGAAUGCGGGCUCUGGAAAGGGGCUGUCUGGGCUGCCAAGACAGUUCUAUGACAUAACCUGGUGACUGGGACCGUGCCUUUCUUGAGCGAAUUCCCGUGCUCCCACCACGCCGCUUCAGCUCUGCCCCUUCACAACCAUCCUCACCGAGAAGCACCUUGGAAAUAAAGCUGUUUAUUUCUUCUCA